AGCGAACGCUGGCGGCAGGCCUAACACAUGCAAGUCGAACGAACCUUUCGGGGUUAGUGGCGGACGGGUGAGUAACACGUGGGAACGUGCCUUUAGGUUCUGAAUAACUCAGGGAAACUUGUGCUAAUACCGAAUGUGCCCUUCGGGGGAAAGAUUAAUCGCCUUUAGAGCGGCCCGCGUCUGAUUAGCUAGUUGGUUGAGGUAAUGGCUCACCAAGGCGACGAUCAGUAGCUGGUCUGAGAGGAUGAUCAGCCACAUUGGGACUGAGACACGGCCCAAACUCCUACGGGAGGCAGCAGUGGGGAAUCUUGCGCAAUGGGCGAAAGCCUGACGCAGCCAUGCCGCGUGAAUGAUGAAGGUCUUAGGAUUGUAAAAUUCUUUCACCGGGGACGAUAAUGACGGUACCCGGAGAAGAAGCCCCGGCUAACUUCGUG
rnacentral:rRNA from 1 species